rnacentral:rRNA from 1 species
GUCGGCAGCCAUACCACCUCGUGCUGUGGUCCAGCGAAGUCUUGGAAGAAGGGUUGGGCCAGUAUAGUACUUGGAUUGGAGACCACCAGGGAAACCUUGAUACUGCAGGAA